AUCGAGAAAUUUUAUUUUGGCCAGGAGCUGAAGUUGGUUGUUUAGUAGUAGUAGUUUGAGUAGUGACCGAAGUAGUAGUCUGGUGUGUGGGUGCAAGAGUAGUUGGGGAAGAAUUAGGUGUGGUAAUUGGGGCAGCUGUGGUCUCUUGUGGAGCUGGGGAAGACGGUGGAGCUGGUGUAGUUGCAGAAGGUGUGGGUGGGGCAGCUGUGGUCUCUGGUGGAGCUGAGGCGGAUGAUGGGUCUAGGGUAGUUGCAGAAGGUGUGGGUGGGGCAGCUGUGGUGUCUUGUGGAGCUGGGGAAUUCACUGGUGCUAAUGUAGCUACAGAAGAGCUUGUGUUAACAUUUUCUCUUGAAGAUAUGGUGGUGGCAUUCUGGGGAAGAAAAGUCACAUUUGGAAGGGUAGUAAUUUUGGUGGAAGCUUAGGCCUACAGCGUUUGUGCAGACAUUUAUAGGACUUUCUAAUGAACGGCUUCUGGUGAGCUAGCA
rnacentral:lncRNA from 1 species